rnacentral:tmRNA from 1 species
GGGGAUGCACUGGUUUCGACGGGGGUUGUGAAGUCGUCCGGAGCAUGCCGAGGGGGCAGCUUUCCUCGUAAAUCCAGCGGCAAAACUCAUAGUUGCCAACGACGACAACUACGCUCUGGCCGCUUAAGGCCUAGCCCCGAACCCACUUGUGCCCGUGCUCGUGGAUGUAGGGUCAUCAUCACGGGAUCGCCCGAAGCUGCCGCCUGUCGGCAAGGGUCAAAUCAAGCAGGCUGGUCCUCCGGUGCGCUUUGCGCGACGUGCUGCCGGGGGGCGAGACUCAACGUCGAGCUAAGCAUGUAGCGCCGGGCAUGGAUCGCCUUCGGACGGGGGUUCGAUUCCCCCCAUCUCCACCA